rnacentral:rRNA from 1 species
AGAGUUUGAUCCUGGCUCAGAGCGAACGCUGGCGGCAGGCUUAACACAUGCAAGUCGAGCGGGCGUAGCAAUACGUCAGCGGCAGACGGGUGAGUAACGCGUGGGAACGUACCUUUUGGUUCGGAACAACACAGGGAAACUUGUGCUAAUACCGGAUAAGCCCUUACGGGGAAAGAUUUAUCGCCGAAAGAUCGGCCCGCGUCUGAUUAGCUAGUUGGUGAGGUAAUGGCUCACCAAGGCGACGAUCAGUAGCUGGUCUGAGAGGAUGAUCAGCCACAUUGGGACUGAGACACGGCCCAAACUCCUACGGGAGGCAGCAGUGGGGAAUAUUGGACAAUGGGCGCAAGCCUGAUCCAGCCAUGCCGCGUGAGUGAUGAAGGCCCUAGGGUUGUAAAGCUCUUUUGUGCGGGAAGAUAAUGACGGUACCGCAAGAAUAAGCCCCGGCUAACUUCGUGCCAGCAGCCGCGGUAAUACGAAGGGGGCUAGCGUUGCUCGGAAUCACUGGGCGUAAAGGGUGCGUAGGCGGGUCUUUAAGUCAGGGGUGAAAUCCUGGAGCUCAACUCCAGAACUGCCUUUGAUACUGAGGAUCUUGAGUUCGGGAGAGGUGAGUGGAACUGCGAGUGUAGAGGUGAAAUUCGUAGAUAUUCGCAAGAACACCAGUGGCGAAGGCGGCUCACUGGCCCGAUACUGACGCUGAGACACGAAAGCGUGGGGAGCAAACAGGAUUAGAUACCCCUGUAGUCC